AAUGAUUCAAGAGUCUCUAUACUAUUAAGACACUGAGUAAUGAUUGGCUGCCUUCCAGGUGGCUCUGCAGUCUGUUAAAUAGCUCAAUUAGUGAGCAGCGCUCUCUCACUCGCUCUCUUGCAUGCACUCUCUCUCUCUCUCAUUGAAUUUUGCCAAGUGCAUGCUGCAUUGUUGGAAGGGGCAGUGCCAAAUUAGCCUAGCAACAUCCCUUUAUAGCCCUAACGUCUGGGACACCUCAGAGCAGCAGAGAAAUCACCGUUCCCCAGGCCUUGCCGGGACUACGAGGCAGCAGAGAGCAUUGUGGCAGGACGGUUUUUCCUUCUGAAGGGUGGUUAAUGAGCAAUGUAGGUGAAGACCCCUGAGAGAUACCUGGGCAUCCUGCCCACCCAAAUAGAAGACCGCGUUGAGAUGGCAGUCGGAGAUGGAGCCCAUGACCAGAGAGAGGGACAGAGGAGAGGAGCGCGGGGACAGUGCCGGACACAAAGUAAAAGCGCUGCCAGUUCAUUUAGGAAGGAAAAUGAGAGAGAGAAAGAAAGCAUAAUCAAAAGCCUACAUGACAAAGAGUUGACAGUCAGAUUCUGUGGUAAAUGAUUCCAGAGUCGCUGGCCUGCGGAGACGCUGAGGAAGUCCCCAGCAGACCUGAUUAAUUCCAGUCUCUCCAGCUGCCAGGGGAGCAGAGGGAAGUCACUAAGGAGCAGCCCUGUCACAACAGCCUCCAAAGGACAGAGAGUGAACCACAGAGGAAAUUCGAAUGCAUGUACAGUGGGUUCCAUUACCAGGGAGCCUGAGCUUGGGACAAGAGGAGCUCAUCACCACCAGAAAAUACUACCAACAUGCCCAAGAGUUUGUUUCCCAUACUUUUAAAGAAAAAGAAAAAUGGAUGGUUCUGAAAUCACCUGGGUUUGUUUUAUUACAUUAUAUCUUCUGGCAAGAUCAGUGAUGGCAGAUGUGAUUCAGCAAUAGAAGCAUGGCUGUACUGGAGGGGACUGACAAGAACGUUUGCAGUCGGUAGUGUUCCUCAGUACUCAUCAAUUUGUGAGCCACAAGAAAUUCUAGCUCUGGAGGCGGAUGGUGGGAGUGAAGCGGACCAGCCGGCCAUUCCCUGUUGCCUACCUGUGGUGGCUCUGCCCAGUCAUCGGUGUCCACUGUUCAGCAUGCAUUCUUUAUGGACAAUCUUAUUCAAGAAAAUAGUUGCAAAAGAGCAAGACAAAAUUCAAAUGAUGUACACUUGAACACUUGCCUACAGAGGUGACAGUUGCCCCAAAAAGUUUGCUGUAAAGUUUGGAGGAGGAAGACACUUCCUGUCUUGAAAUAUAAAUAUGAGUAUCAAAAAUAUCUGAGCGAUUUCGUCAAUAUUUCAGGCAGUUGUUGGAAUGAUUUGUACAUGAAGAGCCUGAAUUCUUUGCUGAACUGGUAAUGGGUAGAUACAGUCUAAUACAUCACUAUUUUUGUAAAAACAGAUUUGAUAGUGCAGCAACCUUCGAGCAUUCUUUAAUCCUGGAACUCCACCAUCCACCCUGAAAACAUUGGAAAAGAAUACACAACAAAAAACACACAACCUAAAACACACAACCUAACAAAAAAACUUCCUAAUGUGUACAAAUGAGAACACUAUCUUCCUUACUGUAGUUUGAUUUCUACCAAAUUCUAAUUUUAAGCCAGCAGACAAACAGGUUGUCCUAUCUAUUCCCUUAGGCUAAGGCUAAAGGGAGAAACAGGCAUCUCAUUUCUAACUCCUGGUACAUUUGGACUUCGGGCCUCUAGAGCACCAAAAAGUUUGAUGGGACCACGCCAAGGGGGUCCCCUGUAACCAGGAGUUGGUUAAUAUCCUCCCAUCCCUCAUUCAGACAGGGAACAGAGGCAAAAAAAAAAAAAAAAUAGCAGGGCAACAAACGCUGCCUUCUGCAAAUGCUCUGUAAUAAAUUGUUCUUUCAGUGGUGCAGAAGACGGAUUUUUCUUUCCUUUGCCUCUUUCCUCCUUUGCGGGGAAGCACCAAUGGGCGGCUUGCUUUCCCACCUGGCCCUGGCUGCCUGUGCCCAUAAAUUUGCCUAUGCAAUGCCUGUUUACGGGUCGCUGAUGGAACAUGGAGACGGUGCAUUUUGUAAGCGCCGGGUAGAUAAUCAUGGUAAUUGAUGUUUGGAGCUGUGAGCUCCUAGGAGCACAGGGUCUCUUUCUCCCAGUGAGGCCCUGCUCUCUGUUAUCAGCCCAGCCCAUAAUUAAAUAUCACUCUUUUACAAUAUGUUUCAGGCUCCUUAAUGAGUCUAAAGCAGAAAUAGUCACCUCUUUCCCCUCGGAGCUUUAUUUGCUUGUUAUUAAACAAUGUUAUUGAGCUGCCUUCUUUCCCUGUGUUGCCAAACCUGCAUCAUUUCCGUUUUAUAAUUGCACAAUUAGAGCGAAGGCUUUGCUUCCAUACAUCAGCAGGCCCUGCGUGUGCCUGCGUGUGUGUCUCCGUGUGGAGAGGAGGAAAGGGAGAGAGCACGGAAAAAUUAGGUGUUCGUAUAGACUACUCAAAUGCGUCUUAUUUUCAUUAACUGCCAGAUUUUGCAAAAUGGGAAGCGAUUUAUCAUGAGCCAUUUUCUUCUAUCAACCACCUCCACCAACCAACACCAUGACUUUCGCGGUGACCUUGUGCUGUGUAGCGGAGGGUCCAAUUUGCUCAUUGUUCCUGGCUUGCAUAAUCCUAUGCCCCUCCCCCACAGCCUUUUUUUCCCCCAAGCAAAAUCCAGUCAUUUAUAUUCCGAGGCUAAACGGUAUUCUUUUUGCCCCCAAAGCUGGCAAGCUGUAUAACACUAGUAAUUCCAUCUAACGAAUUUCCAGGGAGCUCCUCCUCUUACACACGCACUCUCUCUCUCUCUCUCUCUCUCUCACACACACACACACACUCCUCCACGCACACACUCACAUGCACCCCCCUAAGCUGCUCUAAGCAGUGUAUUAAGUAGCUGAAGAAAAUCCAUUCACAUUCUGCUGUGUCGCUUUCUUCUCAAGUCAUGAACCCAUCACAGACUUUUUCUAGCUGUAGGUUGCCACGGUGAAGAUUUACAAUGCCAGUUAUUCAUACAUCUGCCUUCUCUCUUUCCCCCCCCUUAUUCUUAAAUCCCUUGGGCGAGGGCAACCUUGAUACUGAGACUCGUAAAAUUCAUGCAGGCUUAUCAUCCUUGGUGAGGGCUCCAGGCGUGCGCCCGCAUCCCCGCCAGCUCCCCGCCAUGACGCGUGGGUGGGCCUGGGCUGAGGCUUUUCUUUCUAACUCCGAGGAGGGGUUGGGGGAAACAGUGCCAUGGGAAGAAACAGAAUAGAAAACUUCCAUAAAUAUGAAACAAAAGCAGUAUUUGUUUCACUAAGCAUUUAUUAAUUUUUUUUCAAUUACUUUUGGGUCUCUGGAGGCCACUGUUUCUUUGAGGCCGGAAUGUGAAAUAAAACGUGACCUUAGUUUGGGUAAAACAAUAUUAGAAAGUCCACUCCUCAAUGUUCAAGACCUCAUAGAGCAGCAACAUAUACUUCCUUCUCAUGGUAUGUCCAAGAAUCUAUGGGAGGAGGCCUCAAUACCUUUUAAAAUGUGCAGUUGAUGGUUACUGUGUGUUUUUUGCUGUUUUUUUUUCACUUAUUUCUUCUCUUAAUUAUUAGGAAGUUCAUUAUUCUUAAAGAACAUGAAGAGGGAAAAAUAAAUAUUUUCAACAGCAAACAUUAAUAUUUUAAUGAAGUCAUUGAAAUUUUCCCCAGUCUGAAAAUGAGAUUAAUGUUAUGGUAACAUAAUAGAGAACUAUGUUUUAAUCAUAACCAAAAAAAAAAAAAAGACUUUAAACAUAUUGUAAGAAAAUAAUUGAGAUCUUGGCAAGAUAUCAUCUGGAAGACUUUUCUAAAACUCUAUGAAAUUGUUUUUAGGUGGAUUGAAAUACAGUUCUGUUUCAGAAUUGUGGAGGGUUUUUUUUAAUCUUAUUUUUUCAUCCAUUAAUUUCAAUAUUAUAAAAUACGGUUUCCUUGGUAUUCUUGAAUUUCUCACGUUUGCUUGGUGCCACAUGUCCAGGGAGUCGCCGUUGCGGGUUCCCUUCAAGGGGCAAGUGCCCACUGCCAAGAGGCCCCAGAGGCCAGGCAGGCCAUGCUGCAUUAAGCAAACGGUCUGGGCAGCCAGAGGACUGACUUCUUGAGGAAGAAGUCAGGGCAGCCCUGUAUGGCUGGUGGCAAUGCUAAUCCAAGAGCCAUACUCUUAAUGUAGUUGGAGGCUUUGUCAGGUGCCCCACAGACUGCCUUUCAGAUAGUGUUCAACUUUGAGACAGGCUGUGGAUGUCUACCCUUCUUCAAUGAGUAUAAGUAAGUGUCAGGAAAAAGAAAGCCAAGCCCAUGCGGGGGCCCUGACUUCUACUCACCUGUGUGUGAACUGGAGCCUGUGACCUCUUACGCCUCAAUUUCCUCCUCUAAAACCAGGAGAGUGUGCUGUCGUAUCUGUAAGGAUCCUUUCAUGUCUUACAUAAUCCAAUCACAAAUCAAUUAAAUAUAGCCAAUAACUAGUUUAAUCUAAAAUUUCUCUUCUCCCAGCUCAAUACACAGAAGUUUCCCCAGGGUGUAGUUGGAGCAUGAUCCUCAAUUCCCUGUGCGCUGGGCUCUGCCUUAGCUCUUCAGAUCCCUAGGGAACCAUUUAGGAAGUUGCCACAGUGAGCAUCAAGGUGUUCUGUUGGCUGAGAACAUCAAGAAACCCAAGGUUUUGAUCCAACUUCCACAGAAAACUUGGAAAGAAUCACAUGUAGCAUUUGUUGUACUCUCUGAGAUUAUGUUCCUGGAAGCAGGAUAAAAUGAGAGCAACA
rnacentral:lncRNA from 1 species